UACGGAGGGUGCGAGCGUUGUCCGGAAUCAUUGGGCGUAAAGGGCGCGUAGGUGGCCCGGUCAGUUCGUGGUGAAAGCGCGGGGCUCAACCCUGCGUCGGCCAUGAAUACUGCCGCGGCUGGAGCACUGUAGAGGCAGGCGGAAUUCCGGGUGGAGUGGUGAAAUGCGUAGAGAUCCGGAGGAACACCGAAGGCGAAGGCAGUGUCCUGGCGCGUAACUGACGCUGAGGUGCGAAAGCCAGGGGAGCGAACGGG
rnacentral:rRNA from 1 species